UUAACUGGACGUUAAGUUGCAGGGUAUAGACCCGAAACCCGGUGAUCUAGCCAUGGGCAGGUUGAAGGUUGGGUAACACUAACUGGAGGACCGAACCGACUAAUGUUGAAAAAUUAGCGGAUGACUUGUGGCUGGGGGUGAAAGGCCAAUCAAACCGGGAGAUAGCUGGUUCUCCCCGAAAGCUAUUUAGGUAGCGCCUCGUGAAUUCAUCUCCGGGGGUAGAGCACUGUUUCGGCAAGGGGGUCAUCCCGACUUACCAACCCGAUGCAAACUGCGAAUACCGGAGAAUGUUAUCACGGGAGACACACGGCGGGUGCUAACGUCCGUCGUGAAGAGGGAAACAACCCAGACCGCCAGCUAAGGUCCCAAAGUCAUGGUUAAGUGGGAAACGAUGUGGGAAGGCCCAGACAGCCAGGAUGUUGGCUUAGAAGCAGCCAUCAUUUAAAGAAAGCGUAAUAGCUCACUGGUCGAGUCGGCCUGCGCGGAAGAUGUAACGGGGCUAAACCAUGCACCGAAGCUGCGGCAGCGACACUAUGUGUUGUUGGGUAGGGGAGCGUUCUGUAAGCCUGUGAAGGUGGCCUGUGAGGGUUGCUGGAGGUAUCAGAAGUGCGAAUGCUGACAUAAGUAACGAUAAAGCGGGUGAAAAGCCCGCUCGCCGGAAGACCAAGGGUUCCUGUCCAACGUUAAUCGGGGCAGGGUGAGUCGACCCCUAAGGCGAGGCCGAAAGGCGUAGUCGAUGGGAAACAGGUUAAUAUUCCUGUACUUGGUGUUACUGCGAAGGGGGGACGGAGAAGGCUAUGUUGGCCGGGCGACGGUUGUCCCGGUUUAAGCGUGUAGGCUGGUUUUCCAGGCAAAUCCGGAAAACCAAGGCUGAGGCGUGAUGACGAGGCACUACGGUGCUGAAGCGACAAAUGCCCUGCUUCCAGGAAAAGCCUCUAAGCAUCAGGUAACAUCAAAUCGUACCCCAAACCGACACAGGUGGUCAGGUAGAGAAUACCAAGGCGCUUGAGAGAACUCGGGUGAAGGAACUAGGCAAAAUGGUGCCGUAACUUCGGGAGAAGGCACGCUGAUAUGUAGGUGAAGCGACUUGCUCGUGGAGCUGAAAUCAGUCGAAGAUACCAGCUGGCUGCAACUGUUUAUUAAAAACACAGCACUGUGCAAACACGAAAGUGGACGUAUACGGUGUGACGCCUGCCCGGUGCCGGAAGGUUAAUUGAUGGGGUUAGCGGUAACGCGAAGCUCUUGAUCGAAGCCCCGGUAAACGGCGGCCGUAACUAUAACGGUCCUAAGGUAGCGAAAUUCCUUGUCGGGUAAGUUCCGACCUGCACGAAUGGCGUAAUGAUGGCCAGGCUGUCUCCACCCGAGACUCAGUGAAAUUGAACUCGCUGUGAAGAUGCAGUGUACCCGCGGCAAGACGGAAAGACCCCGUGAACCUUUACUAUAGCUUGACACUGAACAUUGAGCCUUGAUGUGUAGGAUAGGUGGGAGGCUUUGAAGUGUGGACGCCAGUCUGCAUGGAGCCGACCUUGAAAUACCACCCUUUAAUGUUUGAUGUUCUAACGUUGGCCCGUAAUCCGGGUUGCGGACAGUGUCUGGUGGGUAGUUUGACUGGGGCGGUCUCCUCCUAAAGAGUAACGGAGGAGCACGAAGGUUGGCUAAUCCUGGUCGGACAUCAGGAGGUUAGUGCAAUGGCAUAAGCCAGCUUGACUGCGAGCGUGACGGCGCGAGCAGGUGCGAAAGCAGGUCAUAGUGAUCCGGUGGUUCUGAAUGGAAGGGCCAUCGCUCAACGGAUAAAAGGUACUCCGGGGAUAACAGGCUGAUACCGCCCAAGAGUUCAUAUCGACGGCGGUGUUUGGCACCUCGAUGUCGGCUCAUCACAUCCUGGGGCUGAAGUAGGUCCCAAGGGUAUGGCUGUUCGCCAUUUAAAGUGGUACGCGAGCUGGGUUUAGAACGUCGUGAGACAGUUCGGUCCCUAUCUGCCGUGGGCGCUGGAGAACUGAGGGGGGCUGCUCCUAGUACGAGAGGACCGGAGUGGACGCAUCACUGGUGUUCGGGUUGUCAUGCCAAUGGCACUGCCCGGUAGCUAAAUGCGGAAGAGAUAAGUGCUGAAAGCAUCUAAGCACGAAACUUGC
rnacentral:rRNA from 1 species